rnacentral:rRNA from 1 species
AUGGGGGGCAUGGGCUUCAGGGAUAUGAGAGCUUUCAACCAAGCGUUGCUGGCCAAGCAAGCUUGGAGACUUCUUGACUCCCCGGACAGCCUAUGUGCGAGACUAAUGAAGGCAAAGUACUACCCUCAAGGUCAGUUGUUAGAUAUAGUGUUUUCAAUCACUGGUUCUGCAGUGUGGAAAGGUAUAUUGCAUGGGUUGGAGCUGUUGAAACGAGGUGUUAUAUGGCGGGUGGGGGACGGGGAGCACAUCCGGACGUGGCGAGACCCUUGGAUCCCACGGCCAUCCUCCUUCCGUCCGAUCACCCCGAAGGGAACCUGCCGGCUCAAUCGUGUUUCAGCAUUUCUGGAUGCUAAUGGGGCAUGGAGGGCUAAUCGUCUUCGUGAAUAUUUUUGGGAGAUGGAUGUUCAACAUAUUCUCAAGAUACGCACUUCUCCAAGGCAGCCUUCCGACUUUCUUUCAUGGUAUCCAGAGAAGAGUGGAGUUUUUUCAGUUAAAAGUGCAUACAAAUUAGCCACAUGCGAUCAUGACACAUCCUUUAGGAAUUAA